GCGACAAGUAAUUCUGAACGAAGAGAGUAUUUAUUUUCUAUAUUUCACUUAUUUUAGUUAUUAUAUCUGAUGAUAUAGUAGGCAUGAAUAUUAAACUACGACAAUAAAAACAAACAACAACAUGUAAUUGUAUUGUAUCGGUGCUCGUUUAGAAUAUUUUUUUGCAAUCGGUGUUACGUUGUUAGCAGCUGGUAGCACGCAUAGCAAGAUCCAGCAGUUUUUUUUUCUCAAAAAAUUCCAGCAGCUUCUCAUUGGUGGAUCCAUUAAAAGAAAGCAAUCCACAGAAAAAAAAUAUCCUCACAAAGAACUUUCCACUGCGUGGUCCUUAUCCAUUCCUUCCAGCAGCGCUGCUCUCUUUCCUCUCUACCAUCCAUCCGGCCAUUCACGAGCUCCUCCCAUGGAGCUGUGCGAGCGCCCAAGCCGCUUGCAUCGGGCGAGCAACAACAGCAAGCUGCGACGCCCCCUGUCCUGUCAUGGAUGUUGCACCGAGCUCAAGUCCAACAGUGGAACCCUGGGAGCGUCGCCCUCCUCAACUCCGUCUAGAUCCAGGCCGUCCCUAUCGGAUCCACGUCGCCCCGCCACAAGUUACUCGAGAGCCGCUGCCGCAUGUCUUCCAGCACGAGGGAGCCAACGCUCGAGCGCAGCAUCCGCCGCUAGCCAGGACGCGUUGAACCCCAAGACUCACCCUCGCGAGGACGCUUCGCUCGCCGCAUGCGGCACCACUCCACUGGCCAGAACGAAGAUUGAAGAAAGAAGUAGGGGAGGAAGGAAGAAGGAGCGGGGAUGAGUUGUGCGUUGGGGAGCGGGGAGGGUGGCGGCUACUGCGGGCUAGAUGCGAUGUGUAAGGAUGAGAUGCAAGUUCUUUUUUGCACAGACAAGCUCGGUGCAUGGGAAUGGAGUCACACCUACAAGGGGCGGGGAGGUAAGAGGGGGAGGAGAGGGGCCGACACCUUCCCCGCCGACGAUCUCGCCAAUGGGCUCACGCAAAGUUGUCCCUCUUCCACGUGUGCCACUGGAUAAGAUGAACACAGGACGACACAUGGAUCCGUUCGCUGCAAGCUCCAGCCGUCGCUGCCUUCUGACUUACUAUUACUAAUACCUAUAGCGUGGGUUGAUUUCAAGGAACUAUAUGCGGUUGUCUGUAAAUAUGCGCGAAAAAACGAUUCGACCUGACGACUGCGGGUUAAUUACUUGAAAAGACAA